AGGCCUCGCGCUUGUUCUCAGACUGCGCGAGAUUCCUCAGACCGCAGGGCCCUCGGGUCGGCUUUGUGACCGUUGUCUCGUGUGACCCUGGAGAAGUCCCUCUGUCUCUGAGCUUUUCUUUUCUUCUAUAACACCUCCUCGUCGUGUGCAGAGGGGGCGCUGGGGAAAGACCCUCCCCCCCAUAUGCCACUCCAGCGCGCCUCACCCCUACCCGUUUAGGGGACUGGGGACCUGUAAAGCUCGGCUUACAAAUGAGGAAGCCAGUUAGGAUUGACGUGACUUGCCCCCUGUCACACACAGGUUCGCAGCAGCAUUUGGUCCAAAUCCAGCUUGUGUUUCAUUGUGCCCUGCCUCAUCUUUUCUCAGUAUUUCAAAAUAUGACAACUCAUUCCUGCUUCUCACAGGCUGAUAAAGUGAAAUGGGGCGAGGUGACAUCGAACUACGAAUCAGAUCUCCUGACUUGGAACCGUAUCUCAGGCAGAGUGGGAAGAAUGAGAAGCAGAGACACAGGCAGAGGCAGAAGCGGGCUCCCGUAGGACUCAAUCCCAGGUCUCCAGGAUCACACUCUGAGCGGAAGGCAGCCCUAAACCACUGAGCCACCCUGGCUGCCCUGAAGUAAAUCUUUGUAAAAGUUUUCCAAGACUCAACCAACACGUAUUGGUAAAGAACACAUCAUUAAAUUUAUUGUUUUCUAUUUCUUUCAGCAAUUUCAUAAACUGUCAGUCAUUAAUAUUUGCAUGCACUGUAAUUCCUAUCCAUUCCUCUAAAUAAAAGGACAUGUAUUUUUUUU